rnacentral:rRNA from 1 species
UAGGGAAUCUUCGGCAAUGGACGAAAGUCUGACCGAGCAACGCCGCGUGAGCGAUGAAGGCCUUCGGGUCGUAAAGCUCUGUUGUCAGAGAAGAACACGUGAUAGAGGAAAUGCUAUCGCCUUGACGGUAUCUGACCAGAAAGCCCCGGCUAACUACGUGCCAGCAGCCGCGGUAAUACGUAGGGGGCAAGCGUUGUCCGGAAUUAUUGGGCGUAAAGAGCGUGUAGGCGGCCAGACAGGUCCGUUGUGAAAACUGGAGGCUUAACCUCCAGACGUCGAUGGAAACCGUCUGGCUAGAGUCCGGAAGAGGAGAGUGGAAUUCCUGGUGUAGCGGUGAAAUGCGCAGAUAUCAGGAAGAACACCCGUGGCUAAGGCGGCUCUCUAGUACGGUACUGACGCUGAGACGCGAAAGCGUGGGGAGCGAACAGGAUUAGAUACCCUGGUAGUCCACGCCGUAAACGAUGGGUGCUAGGUGUGGGGGGUGUCGACUCCC